CAAAAAGUAGUUUAAUUUAGAAUUCUAGCUUUGGGAGUUAGAGGCGGGAGUUAAAAUCUCCUCUUUUUGA
rnacentral:tRNA from 1 species